GGGCCAGUAGCUCAGCUGGUUAGAGUGCACGCCUGAUAAGCGUGAGGUCGGAAGUUCAAGUCUUCCCUGGCCCACCA
rnacentral:tRNA from 2 species